GACGAACGCUGGCGGCGUGCUUAACACAUGCAAGUCGAACGGAAAGGCCUGCUUUCCCUUGUGGAUUGCGGGUACUCGAGUGGCGAACGGGUGAGUAACACGUGAGUGAUCUGCCCCCAACUUGGGUAUAAGCCUGGGAAACUGGGUCUAAUUCCCGAUAGGACUGCAGGGUGGUGCCUGUGGUGGAAAACGAUUUUCUAGUGGUUGGGGAUGAGCUCGCGGCCUAUCAGCUUGUUGGUGGGGUAAUGGCCUACCAAGGCGGCGACGGGUAGCCGGCCUGAGAGGGUGGACGGCCCCAUUGGGACUGAGAUACGGCCCAGACUCCUACGGGAGGCAGCAGUGGGGACUAUUGCACAAUGGGCGGAAGCCUGAUGCAGCGACGCCGCGUGGGGGAUGACGGCCUUCGGGUUGUAAACUCCUUUCGACCGCGAGGAAGCCACCUGGUUGGAAGGGUGGUGACGGUAGUGGUAGAAGAAGCACCGGCUAACUACGUG
rnacentral:rRNA from 1 species